CCCCACGUACUGACACGCGAUGCCGCCGAUAGGAAUCCAAGAAAUGGUUCUCUAAUCUCGAGUCAAUGAAGCGAGCCUACUGCGAACCCCUUGCAUUCAUCACUACUGAAUACUACAGUUUACCGCUUUCCAUGAAUUGCAACAUACAACCGAAUGCCAGUUCUUCACGGCCGGAAUUUUGUGUCACGCUAUCAAGAAACACUAUCCUAAAUUUCCUUGCAGUGCUGUCGACAGGACCCUCCUCAUUUUCCGGGAUGAAAUGUCUAUAAGAUGUUAACCUGGGAUUCCGAGACAAUGCAAGUGCGGUUCCUCCAAGUUCCACGUGUUGUCAGUGAGGCGAGACGACAGCCGAGCGUGACGGACAGGUGCAGGGCAAAGGGCGCGAGGGCCCUAGGCCCGGGGUCGAUGAUCCCGAGACGUCUGAACAAGUGUUGCGCGGCUUGGAUCCCACGAUUUGUGUUUGCAGGUUACAAAUACAGCGACAAGAUCGUCUCACCACUACCUCGUUCCGGUCUGCAUCUCAUUUGGGCAUAUUUUUAAUCUGUAAUUGAUAUGUAGCAAACGAUUACGUUCUUGAAAAAAUAAAUUUACUAGUCUUGAAAUAAUUUCAUUUAGUUGGUUGAAACAAAAGGGCGCUAAGCAAUUGAGACGAGUUUUUUGUAAUUAAUGUUAUAGAUAACUCACAUGCAAAGUAUACGUAAUUACGAAUACAAAAAACGUUAUUUAGUUGCCAGAAACCUUGUAAACUUGAAAGAAUAAUUGAAUUAUAAUAUGAAAAAAUUCACACCGAUCCUAGCGAUUACGCGCAGAAAGAUUUGUUGCAAACAAAUUACUAACAUCAAAAUAUCAGAUUACAUGUACAGUAACUUAUACAUGAACCUACAAGAAUUCACAGCAAAUUGGCCACUAUCACCGCCGCAUAGAGGUGUAAGCAGGUACACGUUGUCGACUGUACCGUAGGAAUAAAUUACUAGGAAUCCUCAAAGCUUUUGAUUCGUGACCCUUUCCUGGAGUUCAGUCCCCUCUAGGCUAGACAAAUGAGAGUUUUAGUCAUUGUCAAGACCGGUAGUCGAAAACAACGGCCAUUGUACAGAACUGGUUCUAAUUCAAAAUGUUGGUUCAAAAUAUAAUUCUAACAUCUAAUGCAGUGGAGCGUGUGAAGUUUUUUGCCGCUUUGAUUGACGCGCGAGGGGCGGGAGGGAAAUGCAUUUUGACAGUUGCGCAGUUUUUUUGUUUAACUAGUAGUACCAACAUUAUAGCAUAAGUUAUUGUCUACUUCCAACUGUGGUUUGAACACGGUACAGUAUAUAGACAGAUAUAUACAGGAAGAGUUUUUUUCAAACUCCUAACAGCUUAGAAGAACUAAAAGCGAACAUUAGAUAUUUAAAAAUCGCUCAAACUGUCUUUAAUAUCAUAACUGAGAGAAUUUAAAAUGGUGUCGAAAAUUGCAGAAGGGUCUUACUUAAAAUCUAUCAAAACAUACUUAUAUACAAUUUUCAAUACAAUUUUCA